UUGGACCACAUACGCUGCAGUGUAGGUCAACUGUACAUAAGUUAGUCUUUGCUUUUUCUCUCCUGCUGAUGUAGUCCACCUCUCCUGGCAUGACUAUGGGAAAAGGAGGAAAUAAAGGCGUUUAAGGACUGAAACAAAUACCACAGUUCACUGAUGGAUACAAAGCAGAACAAAUGGUGGAGGAUUCCAUUCAUUGUGACUCAGGAUCAUGAGGAAAAGAUGAACAAAAUUUCAGCAGCUUCAAAGCAAACAUUGACUCAUACUUCACAGACCUGAAAGCAAGGCUGCCUCCAUCUUUGCUUCAGACGGUAAGACUGUUGAAGAGCAUAGCCCCAUGGGUG